GCUGUGAUAGUUUCUGGUAUUGGUAAUGGUACAGGUGCUAAGAUCGCUUCAGGUGUUGGGAUGGGUCCAGGUGCUGCGAUAGUUUCUGGUACUGGUAAUGGUACUGGUGCUGGGAUCGCUUCAGGUGUUGGGAUGUGUCCAAGUGCAGUAGAUAGUCCCAAUUCUUGGAUUUUAGGGUAUAUUCCUAAUUGGGGAAAUACCAAAAGAGCUACGCAUAUUACAAUCUUGGCCGAUGUUUGCCACAUUUUCGUGGCUUUUUCUUACAACACUACGAAAUACUAUUUAGGACGUCUAGCACGGGUUUCGUUCAGACUGCUAAAUCCAAAGAAGACCUGUUGUAGCUGCCUUACCGUCUGUGAAUCUGUAACACUUUCACUAUUCUACACACUCCUUAAAUUAUACUGCAAGCGCCGAGUUUUUACUAGUCGUUCCUUGGCAGUGGCACACUGUCACUAGUAUAUCUCACUCUUCGCCUCACUGUUGAAGUCAAAGUGCAGAAUCAAGCUAGCUGCUUCGUUAUAUAUCCUGGGCCUGACCCCGUGUCGCCUGGUGUCGUAAUGUACUGUGACGUCAGAGCGCUGACGUUACUACUUCCCCUACCCCGCCAGCGGUGACGUAACACCUUCAGAGCGUUGUAGGCUGUUAACUAAACCAAUUAACAAUCCGAAGGGCGUCUUCAGUGGCAAGAAACACGUUACACUACCUAGCAACAACUUUUAUUUACAGAGCGAUUAUCUCGCAAUGACCUGUGUUUAGAGAGCAAUUACCUAGCAUCGGCUUCUGUUUAUGAAGCGAAUACCCAGCAACAGCUUUUAAUAGCAGCUUAUUUCGCUGUCGGUGCCAGGUUACGGGUAUACAUGCGUAGUUUUGUAGAUACUGGAAGCGUCGUAAAAUAACGUGAAGAAUAAUGAGCUGAUAUGUCUUUGUAAUUAACAUGAAUAAUGGUUUUCUGUUAUGUAAGAACUGCAUUUAUGAACGUAAUAUUUAAUAACUAAACUGCUUCAAAGUCUUAAAUCUCUGAGCAAAUUUCUUUGAAUUUCUUUAAUGUAAAGUAGACCUAUCGAGACAGCAUUGUGAGUGUGGGGGAAAACUGUACUGAUUAAAUGUGUAUUUCAAGUACAGCGCGAAUAAGUAAUGUUUUAAUGAAAAUAUCAAAUACAUUCGGAUGAAUACUUGACAGUUCGACGGCGCUAGUGUCGGCCAGAGAAUGAAGGUGCUUAAGGUAGACGUUUUGUUUGUGUGGUUGGUGCGAUGUGAAAGAGUAUGGGAGCUUAUUUUACGGCUUGUAAUAAUUAAAAAUUA